ensembl:lncRNA
GGAGGGGGCUGUGGCCAUUGUUGAGCUCCCUCCCCAUGCAUGCACAGCAGCUGAGUUAUGGCUGCACGCCCACCUUACUGUUUGGUGGCAUGUAAUUUGAAUACAGAUUAGUUGGCCUCAGUGUUCCAGUGCUUUGGCACUACCAUUACUGGGGACAGUAAUUUGACUGAUGAACACAAGGGUUAUCACAAGGUCAUCACCUUCAGCGAGGUAAGAGGGGGAUGGUGUGCCAGCCAGCCCACUUUUGGGAACCACCAGCCAAGAAGUCUUUCAAUAGCAUAAUUAGUUCCUUUAAUUAAGAGGUGAGCUAGCUGAUUGAAUAAAUCCGCUGCUAAUGGAGCAUCCGAUUUCCCAUUCCAAUAGCUCAUGUGUACUUCUGUUGCCAUUUACUCCCUCAGGAUGUAGUGAAAAUAAUGGGCAGAUUCUGACAGAUUUGUAAUGACAGGCUGUUGAUGUAACACUUGACUGCAAAAUUUUGAAGGGGGAGCAGCAGUGCCGGGCCACUGGAACACACGGGAUCAGUGAUUCACGAAAGAGCUGUCGCACUGGGCCGGAGCUGCGUGAGGGAUUGCACAUGCUGGAGACGGCCACGCUGUGUAUAUCUUUGUGUGCUUUUGCUGCUUCUUUGGCACUUUUGUAUGUGUCUGUGCUUCACAAACCUGAAGAUAAUAGGAAAGUAAA